AAAACCGAAAGGUGAGGUAUAUGGGCUGACGCCUGCCCGGUGCUGGAAGGUUAAGGGGAGAGGUUAGCCGUAAGGCGAAGCUUUGAACUUAAGCCCCAGUAAACGGCGGCCGUAACUAUAACGGUCCUAAGGUAGCGAAAUUCCUUGUCGGGUAAGUUCCGACCCGCACGAAAGGCGUAAUGAUUUGGGCACUGUCUCAACAAUGCACCCGGUGAAAUUGAAAUACCAGUGAAGAUGCUGGUUACCUGCGCCAGGACGGAAAGACCCCAUGGAGCUUUACUCCAGCUUGAUACUGGGAUUCGAUAUUGCAUGUACAGGAUAGGUGGGAGACUGAGAACUGAUGACGCCAGUUGUCAGGGAGUCACUGUUGGGAUACCACCCUUGUAGUAUUGGAUUUCUAACCAGCAGCCGUGAACCGGCUGGGGGACAAUGUCAGGUGGGGAGUUUGACUGGGGCGGUCGCCUCCGAAAGGGUAUCGGAGGCGCUCAAAGGUUCCCUCAGAAUGGUCGGAAACCAUUCGAAGAGUGCAAAGGCAGAAGGGAGCUUGACUGCGACACCGACGGGUGGAGCAGGUACGAAAGUAGGACUUAGUGAUCCGGUGGUAUAAAGUGGGAUUGCCAUCGCUCAACGGAUAAAAGCUACCCUGGGGAUAACAGGCUUAUCACUCCCAAGAGUUCACAUCGACGGAGUGGUUUGGCACCUCGAUGUCGGCUCAUCGCAUCCUGGAGCUGUAGCAGGUUCCAAGGGUUGGGCUGUUCGCCCAUUAAAGCGGUACGCGAGCUGGGUUCAGAACGUCGUGAGACAGUUCGGUCCCUAUCCGGCGCAGGCGGAGGAAAUUUGAUAGGAGCUGUCCUUAGUACGAGAGGACCGGGAUGGACGGACCACUGGUGGAUCUGUUGUAUUACCAAAUGCAUAGCAGAGUAGCCAAGUCUGGAAGGGAUAAACGCUGAAGGCAUCUAAGCGUGAAGCCCCCCUAAAGAUAAGAUUUCCCAUAGAGUAAUCUAGUAAGACCCCUUGAAGACGACGAGGUAGAUAGGGCAGAGGUGGAAGUGCGGCAACGUAUGGAGCUGACUGUUACUAAUCGGUCGAGGCUUUAACCAA
rnacentral:rRNA from 1 species